GACGAACGCUGGCGGCGUGCUUAACACAUGCAAGUCGAACGGAAAGGCCUUUUCGGAGGUACUCGAGUGGCGAACGGGUGAGUAACACGUGGGUGAUCUGCCCUGCACUCUGGGAUAAGCCUGGGAAACUGGGUCUAAUACCGGAUAGGACCGCACUUUAGUGUGUGUGGUGGAAAGUUUUUUCGGUGUAGGAUGAGCCCGCGGCCUAUCAGCUUGUUGGUGGGGUAAUGGCCUACCAAGGCGGCGACGGGUAGCCGGACUGAGAGGUUGGUCGGCCACAUUGGGACUGAGAUACGGCCCAGACUCCUACGGGAGGCAGCAGUGGGGAAUAUUGCACAAUGGGCGCAAGCCUGAUGCAGCGACGCCGCGUGGGGGAUGACGGCCUUCGGGUUGUAAACUCCUUUCGCCAGGGACGAAGCGUUCUGUGACGGUACCUGGAGAAGAAGCACCGGCUAACUACGUG
rnacentral:rRNA from 1 species